rnacentral:rRNA from 1 species
CCUACGGGUGGCAGCAGUGGGGAAUAUUGCACAAUGGGGGCAACCCUGAUGCAGCGACGCCGCGUGAGUGAAGAAGUCUUUCGGUAUGUAAAGCUCUAUCAGCGGGGACGAAGAUAGACGGUACCUGACUAAGAAGCCCCGGCUAACUACGUGCCAGCAGCCGCGGUAAUACGUAGGGGGCAAGCGUUAUCCGGAUUUACUGGGUGUAAAGGGCGCGUAGACGGCUAUGCAAGUCUGAAGUGAAAGCCCAGGGCUUAACCCCGGGACUGCUUUUGAAACUGUGUGGCUAGAGUGAUGGAGAGGUAAGCGGAAUUCCCAGUGUAGCGGUGAAAUGCGUAGAUAUUAGGAGGAACACCAGUGGCGAAGGCGGCUUGCUGGACAGUAACUGACGUUGAGGCGCGAAAGCGUGGGGAGCAAACAGGAUUAGAUACCCGUGUAGUC